rnacentral:rRNA from 1 species
GAUGAACGCUGGCGGCGUGCUUAACACAUGCAAGUCGAACGAGAAAUGUAGACGGAAACCUUCGGGCGGAAGCCUUCAUUUCGAGUGGCGGACGGGUGAGUAACGCGUGGGUAACCUGCCUCAUACAGGGGGAUAACAGUUGGAAACGACUGUUAAUACCGCAUAAGACCACAGCAUCGCAUGAUGCGGGGGUAAAAACUCCGGUGGUAUGAGAUGGACCCGCGUUCGAUUAGCCAGUUGGCGGGGUAACGGCCCAGCAAAGCGACGAUCGAUAGCCGAUCUGAGAGGAUGACCGGCCACAUUGGGACUGAGACACGGCCCAAACUCCUACGGGAGGCAGCAGUGGGGAAUAUUGCACAAUGGGGGAAACCCUGAUGCAGCGACGCCGCGUGAGUGAAGAAGUACUUCGGUAUGUAAAGCUCUAUCAGCAGGGAAGAAAAUGACGGUACCUGAGUAAGAAGCCCCGGCUAACUACGUG